rnacentral:rRNA from 1 species
AGAGUUUGAUCAUGGCUCAGAUUGAACGCUGGCGGCAUGCCUUACACAUGCAAGUCGAACGGUAACGCGGGGGCAACCUGGCGACGAGUGGCGAACGGGUGAGUAAUGUAUCGGAACGUGCCCAGUAGUGGGGGAUAGCCCGGCGAAAGCCGGAUUAAUACCGCAUACGACCUACGGGUGAAAGGGGGGGAUCGCAAGACCUCUCGCUAUUGGAGCGGCCGAUAUCAGAUUAGCUAGUUGGUGGGGUAAAGGCCCACCAAGGCAACGAUCUGUAGCUGGUCUGAGAGGACGACCAGCCACACUGGGACUGAGACACGGCCCAGACUCCUACGGGAGGCAGCAGUGGGGAAUUUUGGACAAUGGGCGGAAGCCUGAUCCAGCCAUGCCGCGUGAGUGAAGAAGGCCUUCGGGUUGUAAAGCUCUUUCGGCGGGGAAGAAAUUGCUUGGGUUAAUACCCUGAGUAGAUGACGGUACCCGAAUAAGAAGCACCGGCUAACUACGUG